rnacentral:rRNA from 1 species
GCAGUCGAGCGGGGAAGGUAGCUUGCUACUUAACCUAGCGGCGGACGGGUGAGUAAUGCUUAGGAAUCUGCCUAUUAGUGGGGGACAACAUCUCGAAAGGGAUGCUAAUACCGCAUACGUCCUACGGGAGAAAGCAGGGGACCUUCGGGCCUUGCGCUAAUAGAUGAGCCUAAGUCGGAUUAGCUAGUUGGUGGGGUAAAGGCCUACCAAGGCGACGAUCUGUAGCGGGUCUGAGAGGAUGAUCCGCCACACUGGGACUGAGACACGGCCCAGACUCCUACGGGAGGCAGCAGUGGGGAAUAUUGGACAAUGGGGGGAACCCUGAUCCAGCCAUGCCGCGUGUGUGAAGAAGGCCUUUUGGUUGUAAAGCACUUUAAGCGAGGAGGAGGCUACCGAGAUUAAUACUCUUGGAUAGUGGACGUUACUCGCAGAAUAAGCACCGGCUAACUCUGUGCCAGCAGCCGCGGUAAUACAGAGGGUGCAAGCGUUAAUCGGAUUUACUGGGCGUAAAGCGCGCGUAGGUGGCCAAUUAAGUCAAAUGUGAAAUCCCCGAGCUUAACUUGGGAAUUGCAUUCGAUACUGGUUGGCUAGAGUAUGGGAGAGGAUGGUAGAAUUCCAGGUGUAGCGGUGAAAUGCGUAGAGAUCUGGAGGAAUACCGAUGGCGAAGGCAGCCAUCUGGCCUAAUACUGACACUGAGGUGCGAAAGCAUGGGGAGCAAACAGGAUUAGAUACCCUGGUAGUCCAUGCCGUAAACGAUGUCUACUAGCCG